UUCCUUCCGGGUAACAUGUGGGGGAGUUAAGCGGGUAUCCCAACCUGGUCGGAGGUCACCUCAUGAGCAUAGGCUUUAGGGGCCCGCACCGCUGAAUGAUUAAACCGCGUCUUUUGCGUAGUUCUGAUUUCCUUGGGGGGCUCGCCCACCACAAGGACAAACCAUAAACCUUUUGUAAUUGCAAUCAGCGUCAGUAACAACAUAAUAAUUACAACUUUCAACAACGGAUCUCUUGGUUCCGGCAUCGAUAAAGAACGCAGCGAAAUGCGAUAAGUAGUGUGAAUUGCAGAAUUCAGUGAAUCAUCGAAUCUUUGAACGCACAUUGCGCCCUUUGGUAUUCCAAAGGGCAUGCCUGUUCGAGCGUCAUUUGUACCCUCAAGCUUUGCUUGGUGUUGGGCGUCUUGUCUCCAGUUUGCUGGAGACUCGCCUUAAAGUCAUUGGCAGCCGGCCUACUGGUUUCGGAGCGCAGCACAAGUCGCGCUCUCUUCCAGCCAAGGUCAGCAUCCAUAAAGCCUUUUUUCAACUUUUGACCUCGGAUCAGGUAGGGAUACCCGCUGAACUUAAGCAUAUCAUUAACCGGAAGAAAUC
rnacentral:rRNA from 1 species